GGGUGGGUUAUGGGGUAUAACGCGACGAAGAACAUCCGAAUAAAAUAAUAAUAAACCGCGGAUACGUUUCAGCGCGCGUCGCUCCUUCUUCCGUCCUGAUGCUUCGCCUGUCUCUCUUUCUGCCUCGGUCUUUCCUGUUUCUGCGUCGCCUGAAAUAAAUGAGUCGGGUCUAACCGCUUGAAUCGAACGAGCAUAAUGAGUACAGACGGAUCGCCAGAGGUGUACGACGAUGAUGUAUUACGUCUAAAAUUGAAUCCUUAUUUUCUGUUUAAUAUCGAGAACAAAAGGAACAUUCAUUUAUUUAAUACAGUGAUACAUUCGAAGUUUACGAGUAUUUAAUGCGAACGAUUAUUUUUCUAUGAAUUGUCAGUUUUUUUAGAUUGCUUAUCGAAAUUUUCUUUGUAUUAAUAUGCCGCCAUCAUCGUUUAUUUGUAAAAAGAUGAUUAAGUUAAUUUAUACGAAACUGAAUAAUUCAUUCAUUUCGUCUGGCCGUUUUGUAAAUGCAAGACCACCGAGGCUGCCGCCGGUAGACUGACUACAUGCGAGUGAAACGCGACAUUUUAAGGCUUGCGUGACACGGAUCGAUAUAAUUUUCUGCAGUUUAGAUCGUUGCGAGAAGAGGUGGAUUCCAGGUACUUGGAAAAAGAAGGUCAACAACACCACGAAACAGCAAUGUUCACCAUGGAGCAAUUUGCAAAUGAAAAAAAAGGAUAAUAUUGCGAGAGGUUCAAAACAUAUACAAUUAGCUUACUAGCUUAUCUUAAAUGUAAUUCAUUAGGGUUUAAUUCUGUAUAAGUUGAUUACAAAUGAUACCGACUUAUCAGUUAAAAGAUAGUCGGAGAAGAGAUGUCGUUAAACCGGAAGAAUCUUUUCUCUUUACGUACUAAUUUUAAUCUCGUUUCAACGAGGGGAUAUUGAAUGUGUUGAGGAAUACCCUAACAUGCUGUUGGAACAAGAAAUGACAUGUAUUGGACGUCAGAAGAAUACUUGAGUUAAGUAAUUUGCUUCGUAAUUCGCUAAAUUCAAUUAUGAACUAUUUUUAACGGAUCUACAUUUGAAAACGUUAUUAGAGGCAUGAUAAACAGUAGAAUAUAUCAUGUACAUUGACAAACGAAAAAUUAUAGAUACAUAUGUCUAUGGAGAAAUACCGAGUGCAGGACGAAGACAAACUUUUAUCUAUUAAAAAAUUUAAGUCUCAUCGCUAUUUAUAAAUCUAUAAAAUUACGAAUUUUUUGAUGAUAAAAGAAUGUGAUUGGAUCAUAAAUGACUCAAAGGACGUAGCAGGGCUAAUACAGAAAGCCAUCCACGAACGUCUCGUCGAGUAACGGAGCCGGAGCGAUCGACCUCACAGUUCGAACGACUUGGUAUUCCUCGUGGUCGAAUCGUCGUGAGUCAUAGCGAUCACUCGGCGGAUUCGCAGAUCAUAUAUUUAUCGCGGCUGUACGAAAAGCCCGCUGAGAUGUUUCUUCUCAGGGACAAAUCAAUGGGGCUGGCGAGCCGGCGGUGGCCGUUUGAUGUCAAGAAAGAGCUCGACCCGCUCGGAUUCAGCUAUCUCGACGUCGUCGCCGACGGCGGCAUCCUACUGCGAUAACGCCAUUAUGCGAAUUCGCGAUUUGCAUAUUUCAGAAAGCGCUGCACAGGAAAGCAUAAACAACUCCAGCCGCUCCGCGCAACGAGAGCGCCGUGGCUUCCUCGUCAGAAGAGUUACACGCAUGGAAGAUUUACGGAGAAUCCAACGGUUUCCCUUUUCCCUUCCUUCUAUCCUUUUUCCUCCUUCUUCCGACUCGUCGUUUUCUUCGCUGUCUCACUUCUUCUUUUCUUUUUUUUUAGGGAACCUCCUCUCGCACUUUGUAUUCAGGCAUAAAUGCAUGGCGACGCGAAAUGGGAAUUGGCUGAAUACCUCCAGACGAUCAUCUCGGGGACGGAGGAGGAAAAAACCGGUCCAACAGUUUUGCUAGACUGCAGCUCGCGGUUUUCGGGCCGAAUCCCGCGACCGAGGCUAAUCCUUGGAAGACCAUCUUUCGGCAUGCUGACUGAUGUGUCUCUCGAAAUAGACAGAAGAUCGUUUGUAUAUACACGAUUUUGUUAUUCAGCACGGUGUACCUUACUUCAGCAACUUUGCUGUCUGUAGUGUAUGGAGAAUACGGAAUGUCUUCUCUUUUCCUACCUUUUAUGUACCGUUUUAGAGUAACUACAUCUAGGAGUAUAUAGCAUAAUAGAGUUAUUUGAGUCACCUAAGCUUCAACGUCCUGAAAAUAUAUAGCUAUCGAGUUGUCAAUGUAUAUAAUAUACUUCACUGUUUUAUCAAACCAUUAAUUAGCAGUUAAAUAUGUAAUCCAUUUUCAAGUUUAAAAAUUGUUCAUGACCGAUUUUACUGAAUUACAUAGCGGAUUAUUUAGUCCGACUCAAACAUCCUUCCGAGUCAAAUAACCCUGUCUAAAUGGUUCUAGCCAUUAAAUUGGAAAAAUUUAGAUCUUAAUUUAAUUAUGGAAGAUAAAUUCCAAUUCUUCACAAGAUAUAUACAAUUUAUCUUCGUAUUAUUAAUGUCGUAUGCAGAUAAUGGUUUAUCACGGAGAUUCUUCAUCUCCAUUCAGCAGUGCUGACAACCGAGCAGAACGGAGGGCACGAGACCACCAACAGACAAGGAUCGACCGCCGUAGAUCGCCUUUUCCGCGCAUUAUAAUGCUAACGGUCGCUUAUCAGGACAGCAUAAAACGUUUCAGCGCUAGUUUCGCCGCGAUAAGUGGCGGAGCGCGCGAAACCGCGCGCUCGCUUACAUAAGUAAUAUAAUUGAUUCGUUACAAGCGCUCCUACACGACAGAUAAGUUUAUCUGUGACGCGCAUCGACGAAACCGGUUAGAUAACGAGCGCCGCUACAUCAUAUAAUAAGCUUUAAUUAUUCGGAUAAUGAAGCUCGCCGUCCUCUUCUAAUGACAAAUAACAUCGGCUCAACCAUAAGCCACUGCAGCGAAACCAUCAUGUCGAAACUUCCGGAGGAAAAGUCACAUUGGCUUUCCUCGACGUUUCCUUCGACUCUACGGUGUUACGGCCCUUUUAAUCUGCCACUGUUUGUUUCACUUGUAAUUUCAAUCUGCUCCUAGUUUACACAUCGCCCAAGACACGAAAAGCUAUCAUAGAGAAAUGUAAUUUAUUUAUGAUAAGUUGAAAAUUAUAGUUGUGUAUGUCAAGAUUUUGAGAAUCUGGAUCUAAUCAUGUACCUUAACUUUUAAAAGCAUCAAAUGUUUCAUAAUUAAUUAAGUUACAACUUUAUUCUUUGUCGCGAUACGUUUUCAUGACUUCGAAGAAUAUAAACGACUCUUGAAAAACGACUACUACGAAUGAUAUAAGAAGCUCAGAGGUACAGUGGUAACAGUGGUCCAUAAUUUUAAAUUGUACGUCUUCAGUUGCUUUUGUUUCAUCCUGUUCCAGUUUACCAGUUCGAAGAAUCCCGAACAACCUGUUAAACUGAUCGGGCAAAACCUGGAAGACGUUGAUCUUGGAUGAAAGAACAAGUCCCUGGUACCAACUUCCAUCUGGUGUCUUAACGAGCAAACAUUUUAAUAAACUCGUCACACCGGUGCACGGGCCAAGAUCGAGAGCCUUUCCAGAUCUCGAAUUUCAAUUUUCACGCGACACUCCGUAAAGUAUCCAGAGGCAAGAAGGAACGCGGCAGUAAGGAAUCGCUGAGAAAGAUCUCGACGAAGGAAAAAACGCGUUUGCCGUCAAAUACCAGCGAUCAGGCGGAAAGAAAGGAGGCUGGAUGAUGUACCGGUAGAUCCACGUUCCACGCCGGAUAUUUACGUGUAGCCCGAUGGCCGAACUCCUGUCGAACAUCGGGUUUUACAGCGUCGAGCAACGGCGUAUCGUUGGCCAUCAUCGAGGACCAAGGAUCCGGCGACUGGUUACACACAAGUAGAUGGAUGAAGGUGGCUGGAACAAGGUGGCGGUUGAUGGGUGUAAAUUCAAGAUACGAUCUUCUCCCUUCUGUGUCCCUUUCCAAGUGGAUUUACCGACUGCUGCGCGUUCUGUCCGCUUUACUCGGUUUUUAAUUAUCUCCGGGGUCCCUGAGACAAAGGCGUCGCCGCCGUCGUCAGCCAGGUAAACGUUUCUCUGUCUUACCUCCUUUGGCCAACGAGGACCGGGCAUGUCUGACGAACCUUCUGGAACUGGGACGUGACGUAUCGGCGCUGGAAAGCUGAAGAAUCCUGGCAAUGAAUCGAUUGAAUAUGUAAAUGGGCUUUUGAAUUGUUUGGAGGAAGUUCAGAAACGAAAAAUCGAGGAAGAUAAUUCUUACAUGGAUAAGAACUAACAGUCGUGUUUUAGAAGAUAUGCCACUGUAGUAUUCGAUGAGGAAUUUUAGAAGACGUAUGGAUUAUGGAACGCAAAGAUGAUUUAUCAACUCGUUGGUUCGAACAACGAUAUAAAUUUAAUUGUUAGAUCAGGUACUUGGUUUAUGAUUUAGAUUCCAUCAUGAAGUUGGCGAAUGGUCUUCAUAGAGUUGCGCUAGGCCGCUAAUAAAAGAUGUCCCCGUCUGGUCGCAUUAUCAUUUUAAUUGCUUCGUUUUGUGCUGAACCUUUUUGCCAGAUCCUUAUCUCCGCGUCGGGACAAAUUAGCACCCCGACUGUGUGUUCGGUUGAAACCUGUUCGCUGGAAUCUGCAAAUUACCUUUUCUGCCGCCUCGAUAUAAAGGACGCCGGACAUUCGGAAUGGCGCGAGCGCGCCUUUUACGCCAGCGAUCUUGCGCCGAGUGUUGCAAGUACAAAUGAGCGAAUUUACGUCCCGAAGAGCUACGACUCUCACUUUCGAUGCAUAGCACCGUAGGAAGAGUAGCACCGUGUUUUGCAAUUAGAAGCGUUAACCGUAUGCUACUAGACCUUUGCAGGUUCUAUUGGCGAAGAAAUUCCUCUCGAAGGAGAAUCGUCUGUAAAAAUGGCCAUGAUUUCAUCACUAAUAACGAGCAGCCUAUUAGCGUUGAUAAAAAAAAUUCCUGAGCACUAACUCACGAAGGUAUCCUAACACUUGUAGAAAUAUUUUACGAAUACAUCAUGCACGUUAUAUAGAACAUUUUGAAGUACAGACUUUUAAAGGUAAGUAAACUUUUAAUGGCAACAUUAACUUACUUUUUGGGGCGAUUGUAUACAGCACUAAUGAAAUUUCAAAAUAUUUUUUAUAAGACAUACAGUAUAUACAUGAACGUUUACUAAGGUAAGUGUCCAAAUACAUUUUUGAGCCACUGUACAUCGAAAACCUCGGUUACAAUUUCCAUAGUUUUUUUUAUUUGUUCUUCGACAAUCAAGCAAUGUCCAAGACGGAGAAUCUGCAGAUUGACUUUUUCGCUGCUCCCGGGGCCGAAAGCGCGGCGGAAGUGAUGAAUGGCGAGGGCAGGUCUUUUGAGAGCGGUGAUCUUUUCGGCUGAGAGGGGUACACGAAGGACACAAAGCGCCGCUAUCCGCACCAUCAGUGUCCGAUACCAGGCUCAGGUGACGCACUUUCCAAAGAGGUACCCAUGCUGCCAGUACCUUUAUUAAAGCGAAGACAAGACUCCGGGCCCUGACACAGAGCCGACCGAUGACAGAAAAUAUUUACAACGUCAUCUUGCCUAGACUGGGCGUUUUCCUGGUCAUCUUCGACGGCGCCAGCCUCUCCUUUCCAUGACCAUUACGACCGUCGCUUGUUCUCCCCUCAAUUAUUAUAGGUACACAUUGGGACAAUAGCUUUAUGACAAUUGGGCGCGAUUCAGUAACUCUGAGGGACUUGGGAUCGUUGAUCGUAAGUCUAGUUUAGCAGGAUUACGCUAAAGGAUGUUGCUAUGCUAGAGAGAGUCCAUUCAUCGGGUACUAGGAAAAUCCUUUGUGGUAACGAUAAGCUUAUUGCGACAAUUUCUGUUGUAGAUGAUAAUCAUUUUGGUAUAGGAUAAGUUUGAAGAGAUUAUUUACCAAUUAUCGGUCCCUGUAAAUCCUGUUUUUCACGCGGUCAAGUCUCUCUUAUCCGAAUGAAUGGUUUAUCUCGAUAAAAGAUAAUCUUCGUAAAGAAAGGCAUAGAGUGGAGCAUAGUUGAGCAUAGUUGAAGAUCUAAGAACCGUCUAAUAUUCAUUGAACGACACUAUUACGAUCGAGGUUGAACUCGAUGAAUUCUAAGAAGUUUCAACAUCGAAGGAGAAGAAGGGGGUCUGAUUCCCUGACAGUGGUUAAUUACGACGUUCGCUCGUUAAUUCGCCGAAGUCGAUUCGCGAUAGCGACGGGCAAAGAAAAGUGGGAGACGACAAACAACUCCUACGAGGAAUAACUUCUCAUUUCCUACUUACUGUCAAUUAUUUGGUUAGAGAGCCAAUUAACUCGGCUCUCCUCGCGAGUCGUAGUCGAGCGACGACGACGCUCGAUCAACGAAUCGAAGAACGUCUCCUAUUCUGCUUACGACUUAAUUAAUGCGAGCCUCGUCGUUUCAUUGUUCUCGAUAUUUGCAUGGAACCCCCGGCCCCUGUUACUAAAUUAUACGCUGUAUCUGCUCAACCAUGCCGAUGCAUACCGUACGUGCAAUUUUCUAUUGUUCGAAAUGACGCAGCGUUAGAUGCGUUUAUUAAAAUCUCGUCUGCUCGAGCUUUCAACUGUGGGCUCGAUUUCUGAAGUGUCCUUUGCCUUUUCAACUUCUCUCGUGUUUCCCAAUUUUUAACUGUGUCUGUCUAAUAUGAGGAUGUUAAAACGAUUGAGAUAUAUGUUUCUAGUCACAUUCUAAAAGUUCAUAUAGAUUCUAUAAAGUGUUAACUAUUCGUUAGGAAUAAACAUGGAACUUUAUUAACGCAGGUACACUUUUUAUUUCGACUUAAAUUUAAAUUGCUUAGAAUUUUAGCCCAGUUACAAAAAAAGAUAAGGGCAAGGCAAAGAGGCAAAGCAAAAGGUAACAAAUUAACAACAGAGGAACAUUAAUCUAUCGUAACGUUGAAAAUGUAGUAAAAAUAUCAAUUUUUGUAUAAAAAUCACUUUAUUUGCAAAAGCAAAUAAACCAAUUUCUCAUCUUUAUUUCACCGUAGAUUUCGUGUCAAGGAGGAACCGCCAUCUGGCUGAGCAUCACGAAAAACAACGUCCCCGGUCUCUUUUGCACGGUAUUUGCCUAACUAAUAAUGUCAAUAAGCCGACAAGUUAUAAGUUAUAGCUUAUAGAUUACUCUUUUAUGAUUUUAUAAUUUUUCGGGAAAUAUAGGAUAAUCAAUGGAGUUAUAAUUUAUAAAAUCUACUGGUGAAGUUUCCUUUCUUUUUAUAAUGCAAAGGUAUUUGUUAAUACCGGUAAUUUGUAACUUGUGACUUGUGAUUUGUAAAAUUUCAUUAUUAAUAUUACCUGAAUUGUGCAAGAGAGACCAUUUGUGGACGAUAAAUUAACUGCGUUUCUUUGACACGGGAGUACGAUAAUUCACGGUCCAGGCGGAGUAACGUCUUCAGGAUAACGGUUGGAAUACGGUGUCCCCUCGGUAAAUUCAACCGGACAUAUCCGGCUUCGAUCGAUCCCUCGAUACGAGGAGGAUCAUCCAAGGCACAGUAGACACGCGUGCCCACGAUAAUGAACGCGAGGGCCUGGGUAAAGGAAAACCGGUGGUUUCGUUCGUUUGACCGGCCGUUCCUCAUCGUUCGUUCGGUGCCGUUGUCAAUCGUCAAAACGAAUUUUCGAUGGCGGACGCAAAGAGGACCGGUGCUGGGACCCCCGCUGGGGUAUCGGUUACGUUUAAACCGCGUUUAGGGUCCUCGAAAGCCAGCAUUUCGAGGUUCCAACAGCAGCCCACGUUGUCGUAGUGAUGGACUGAAGAGGCCACGAAUCACCUGGUGUGAUCAGCCAGACUCUUUUUUUGUUUUCUAACGUUCGUUAGUGGAAUGUGGGAAAUGCUGGUUUAUGGAUGCUACGAGACUGUGAAGAAAGGAAACAAGGAAUGCGCAAGUGCCAACUUUCGGAGAGGUGGAGAUCGUAUGGAUGUAUGAUUCUUUGUGAAACUGUCUUUGUUGUUGGAAGGUGGACAAGAAACGUUGAAAGAAAUUAUUACUAUUAAGGAAUGGAAGAACAUAGUUAGAUCGAAAGAGAUCUAAAGAAUGUAGCAGGAUUAAUCAUAAGGUUGUUAAGACAUUUAAAAGAUUUCUAACAUACUCGUCAAUGUUUUCCAUGCAUCAUACAACCAAUCAUUAAUUCAAACAUUAAAAUUGUUCUCAAUAAAAAUACUACUUCAGCGAAAAGGGAUUGAAAAACGAAAUUAGAUUUGAAUCAAGAGUCAAACGAUAUCAUCAAAAUUAUAAAAAACGACAAAAGGAACAAAAAUUAGAAAGAUUACUUUAUCACUAGCACCGGCAGACAAUCAGGAGGCAAGUAACCGAGCCGAGGCGCAAUUAAACCGCACGAAAGUUCGCGAGGUCAAAAAAUAGAAGAACAGAGGUGGCCAUCGCUACUUGCGUGGCCCCGUGGCGAAGGGCCCGGGAGACGGUGGCGCCAAGGAGAUCCGUAUCUUGGCGCGGGGCACCGAGAAAGGGCUCCGGCUUCUCCCCACCAGCGGCAGCCCUCGUCAAAGAUAACAUCUGAUUCCGAAUCGUCCGUUCGCUCGUGUAGGCUUCCAUGUAUCCCGACUCGUUUUCUCGGGCCCUGGUACGAAUGUCAUCGUGUUCGCUUCUUACAAGCGGAACGGGGCUCCGAAAGCGGGCCCCAGCUCCCCUCCUCUGUUACCCGUCCAGCCCCACCAUCACAUCGGGUGCCUUCGUCAGCGCCGAAUUAACGACCGUGCAGGCCCACGGCAGCAUGCUACGGGAACAAGAUCGAGAUUAAUUGCGAGCCAUGAAUCGAAAGAAAAGCCACCGAUCGACUGGUCAAGACCGACUGUCUCUCCGACUUUCGUUAAUUUAUUGGUUAAUUUGGAAACGCUCGACAUACUUCAUGGAGAGAUUUGAUGGAGAGCAAGUCGAGGUAUACGAUGACAACUUGGUGUUUCUUGACGAUUUGAGUGGGCGAAUUUCUUGUUGUAUUGAUUUGAUUGUAUUGAUUUGACACUAGAACUACUGAUUUACAAUAUGCAUUGAAAUAUACAAUAUAUUUGGUUCGGUGAUUCUAUUAUGCAGUGGCUACAGAAGGUAUUGGCAUAUCAUUGUAUUUAUUAUAGCAUUCAUGCACAAUUUAAUUAGGCCCAAAUAUAUUAAAUUUCGUAAUACUUAGUAGUACUUCCGUAUCAUUAUAACAAUUUGAUGCUAUGGAAACGAAAUGUAGAACCUUAUAAUCCGUCAUUUUAAUGACUUUACUAGUUCUGGUGUUAAUGGUAGAUUAUUUCGUUUGUAUUAUUUGAAUUAUUUGAUAAAGUUGAUAAACUUGAUCAAAUUGAUCGAGUUGAUAAUAUUGGUAACAAUAAUAUUAUCUGUUAAUGGGAUUGAAUUAAUCAUGGAUCUGAGCUAUGACCGACAAAAUUUCGAUUAUUAUUAUUAUUAUCAUCGUGUUCUGGAAUUACGAUCAGCGUGCCAUUUGUCGAAGGUGAAACGUUCGGCCGGGGGCCGAAAAAAGCAUCGUAGGCGCGGCCGACCAAAAGCGAGCGCCGCCCGAAAAAAUCAAGCAUUUGUAUUCCGCGGAGAUUUUUCAACGGCGGCCGGACAGUUUUCUCAUUUCGUUUAUGGCCAGCCGUAACAUAACUCCGGGACCUACUACCGCCGCUCGACAAACACACAGAAAUUUCGACCACGGGAUCAGACCACGACUUCGCGUGGGUGGAAUGGAGUAGCAUCCUGGCACCGCUUUGCCAACCAAGAAGACGUCGCAUAGUUUUACUCGUUAGAUUGUUUAGGUAUAUAAAUGUUAAAUUUUAAAUGACUCUGUAAGUGUAAUUUAUUUGGACAAAUAUUUUAAUACCAAUGCUAUUAACUCUCAAGUGGUAUCGUUGGCAUAUCUACUAAUUUUUACAUUAUUUUAUUUUGUUCACAGUUUUAUAUUUCACGUGAUGAAAAUGACAAAGUAAAUAAUAUUAAAAGUAAGUAAAUUAAAAUUAAUCUUUUAUUGAAUCAUGUUAAGUGGUUCAAUAAAUGGACUCGGUUAUGUGUAUUUCUAUCUUUUUUAUUUAUUUAAGCUCCGAACUAACACCGACUCAUAAUUAUUUCUUUAUUUUUUAAGAUUAAAGAAAUAAUACACGAUUAUGUUUAAUAUAAUUAUUCAACUAUGGAUGCUUUUCGCGCGUUUAUUGUAACGCCAUCUGUGAUAGCGUUAUAUGAAAUAAUAUAAUAUUUGCCGCAUUUGCAGUCGCAAUUAAUCUCAUCAUGAAAAUAUAAUUUGAUUGAUUAGUAAUUAGAUGUUGUAUGGAGCAAUUAUUACUAGCGACUCGUAUUCUAACCAAACAAUUGACGACAUUCCAAGAACGUCAACUUUCUCUUGUAAUCAUAAAUAAUUGCAACGCAACGUUCAUACAAAGAGUAUUUCUUCCGAUAAUUAUCACCAAUGUUUCCCAGUGUCUCCUACGCUUAUUAUCCAAAGAAUUCAUAAUUUCUCAACAAUAUCAGCCCUUCUACUUUAUCUUUGAACGUCUAUAAUUUAAUACUUUUAUACAAAUAUGUCUUCCAGUGUCUCCUACGUAUGUUUAACAUCUAAAGAACCCAUAACACCUCAACAACAUUAAUCCUUCCAUUUUACUUUUGAACAUCCACAAUUCAACACUUUCGUCCAAACAGUCCGCGAGAGGAAUAUUUCCUGGUGUACACCCCUUGAUCUUCCCACCUGCCAUCGGCCCACGCGAUGCUUCUGCGAGAUACCGAGUUUACACGGGUGGCGGUCACCAGAACAUUCGAAUCAAUGGGAAAGAAAAACUCUGAAGAGCCAUCGUUAACGUUCGAUGUCUCAUGAUGAAUCGUUGGAUGAUACCAUUGCGGUAUACGUGAGUAGAAUAUAUUUUGUAUUUCGUUUCUUACAAAUACAUAUAUGUAUGCGUUUCAUUGCUUCGAGUUCUUAUGGAAGAUCCAUUUUGGAUGGAUUCGCAAGGGAAAGUUCUCUACUUAGUUCUCUUAGAAACUUUUGUUCUUUAUAUUAAUUUUAGAAAUUACUACCAAAAGAAAUUACGUUAAUUAAUUCUUUUCAUGUCAUUUAUGUUCUUUAUAUUAAUUGUCAGUAACUAUAACCAAGGAAAUUAGUUAACUCUAAUAAGGCAUUUGGACUUUUUUA